rnacentral:rRNA from 1 species
UACGUAGGGGGGCAAGCGUUGUCCGGAUUUAUUGGGCGUAAAGAGCGUGUAGGCGGCCAUGCAGGUCCGUUGUGAAAACUCGAGGCUCAACCUCGAGACGUCGAUGGAAACCGCAUGGCUAGAGUCCGGAAGAGGAGAGUGGAAUUCCUGGUGUAGCGGUGAAAUGCGCAGAUAUCAGGAAGAACACCCGUGGCGAAGGCGGCUCUCUGGGGACGGUACUGACGCUGAGACGCGAAAGCGUGGGGAGCGAACAGG